UAACGCGUGGAUAACCUGCCGUAUACAGGGGGAUAACACUUAGAAAUAGGUGCUAAUACCGCAUAAGCGCACAGAGCCGCAUGGCUCAGUGUGAAAAACUUCGGUGGUGUAAGAUGGAUCCGCGUCUGAUUAGCUGGUUGGCGGGGUAGAAGCCCACCAAGGCGACGAUCAGUAGCCGGCCUGAGAGGGUGAACGGCCACAUUGGGACUGAGACACGGCCCAAACUCCUACGGGAGGCAGCAGUGGGGAAUAUUGCACAAUGGGGGAAACCCUGAUGCAGCAACGCCGCGUGAGUGAAGAAGUCAUUCGUGAUGUAAAGCUCUAUCAGCAGGGAAGAAAAUGACGGUACCUGANUAAGAAGCCCCGGCUAACUACGUGCCAGCAGCCGCGGUAAUACGUAGGGGGCAAGCGUUAUCCGGAUUUACUGGGUGUAAAGGGAGCGUAGACGGCCAGACAAGUCUGAAGUGAAAAUCCAGCGCUUAACGUUGGAAGUGCUUUGGAAACUGCCGGGCUGGAGUGCAGGAGGGGCAGGCGGAAUUCCUAGUGUAGCGGUGAAAUGCGUAGAUAUUAGGAGGAACACCAGUGGCGAAGGCGGCCUGCUGGACUGCAACUGACGUUGAGGCUCGAAGGCGUGGGGAGCAAACAGGAUUAGAUACCCUGGUAGU
rnacentral:rRNA from 1 species